rnacentral:rRNA from 1 species
UGAGGAAUAUUGGUCAAUGGGCGAGAGCCUGAACCAGCCAAGUCGCGUGAGGGAAGACGGUCCUACGGAUUGUAAACCUCUUUUGUCGGGGAGCAAUAAAGCGUACGCGUACGCAGAUGCGAGUACCCGAAGAAAAGCAUCGGCUAACUCCGUGCCAGCAGCCGCGGUAAUACGGAGGAUGCGAGCGUUAUCCGGAUUUAUUGGGUUUAAAGGGUGCGCAGGCGGAAAGUGCAAGUCAGCGGUCAAACGACGGGGCUCAACCCCGUCUCGCCGUUGAAACUGUCUUUCUAGAGUGAGCGAGAAGUAUGCGGAAUGCGUGGUGUAGCGGUGAAAUGCAUAGAUAUCACGCAGAACUCCGAUUGGCGAAGGCAGCAUACCGGCGCUCAACUGACGCUCAUGCACGAAAGCGUGGGUAUCGAACAGGAUUAGAUACC